GAUGAACGCUAGCUACAGGCUUAACACAUGCAAGUCGAGGGGCAGCAUGAACUUAGCUUGCUAAGUUUGAUGGCGACCGGCGCACGGGUGAGUAACACGUAUCCAACCUGCCGAUGACUCGGGGAUAGCCUUUCGAAAGAAAGAUUAAUACAAGAUGUUAUCAUGAGUAAGCAUUUUCGCAUGAUUAAAGGUUUACCGGUGUAAGAUGGGGAUGCGUUCCAUUAGAUAGUAGGCGGGGUAACGGCCCACCUAGUCUUCGAUGGAUAGGGGUUCUGAGAGGAAGGUCCCCCACAUUGGAACUGAGACACGGUCCAAACUCCUACGGGAGGCAGCAGUGAGAUAUUGGUCAAUGGGAACGAGAGUCUGAACCAGCCAAGUACGCGUGAAGGAUGAAGGUUCUA
rnacentral:rRNA from 1 species